UGAUGGAUGUAUUUUCUGCCACAGCAAUGG
rnacentral:sRNA from 1 species